rnacentral:rRNA from 1 species
UGAGAGUUUGAUCCUGGCUCAGGAUGAACGCUGGCGGUCUGCUUAACACAUGCAAGUCGAACGCAACCUUCGGGUUGAGUGGCGGACGGGUGAGUAACGCGUGAGAAUCUGCCUUGGGGUCGGGGACAACCACUGGAAACGGUGGCUAAUACCGGAUACGCCUUCGGGUAAAAGAUUUAUUGCCCUAAGAGGAGCUCGCGUCUGAUUAGCUAGUUGGUGAGGUAAGAGCUCACCAAGGCAGCGAUCAGUAGCUGGUCUGAGAGGACGAUCAGCCACACUGGGACUGAGACACGGCCCAGACUCCUACGGGAGGCAGCAGUGGGGAAUUUUCCGCAAUGGGCGAAAGCCUGACGGAGCAAGACCGCGUGAGGGAGGAAGGCUCUUGGGUUGUAAACCUCUUUUCUCAGGGAAGAAGCUCUGACGGUACCUGAGGAAUCAGCCUCGGCUAACUCCGUGCCAGCAGCCGCGGUAAUACGGAGGAGGCAAGCGUUAUCCGGAAUUAUUGGGCGUAAAGCGUCCGCAGGUGGCGAUUCAAGUCUGCUGUCAAAGCACGGGGCUUAACUCCGUAAAGGCAGUGGAAACUGAAUAGCUAGAGUGCCGUAGGGGUAGAGGGAAUUCCCGGUGUAGCGGUGAAAUGCGUAGAGAUCGGGAAGAACAUCGG